CACACAAUAGCCCUAGACAUACAAAUCUAUAUAUACAUACAACAUUUCAUUUUCAUCCUUACAUACAUACAUCUAACACAUAGAGAUGUAAUCUCCUGCACCAAUUAAGACAGAUGAUGAAAACCAUAGACGAGAAUAUACACACACGAAUCAAGCUUCCAUCCUUUCAGUUCCAUCUGCAAAAUUGUUCAAAUAUUAAUUUCCGUUACAAAAUAAACCAAAAACUGUAACUAACCAACCGUUCUACUAUCAUAACAUAUUGUAUGUUUUAUUUCUUAGGCAGAAACAGAGAAUGACAUUAUAUCGAAACCAAUUAAAAGUACUUUUCUACUAGUUUCCAACACAUGUAUGCAUACAAUGGUUAUGAAGACAACAACAUUUCAAGCCCCUCAUCUUAUGAACAUUUUACUCAACAAAUAUAAUAAUAUUAAUAGAGCUGAAACUUAAACAUGCUCAUUUGAAAUGUUUCCAAAACUAUUUUAUUAACUACGGAUGAACACUAAUUAUAUAUAGUUUAACAAAGAAAAUAAAAUGAUCGGACCAGAAUCUUACCUACAAAGGAUGAUGAUGAUGCCUCUAUCUCUGUGGGGAUGUGAGAGAACUCUAGAGAAGUUUUGACUUGAAAACGAUAGUGGAAGAACAGAUUAGGAAAUGGAAGAAAGAAAAGAAAACAGAGUUUUAGUCAUUUUCAAGAAAUGGGGUUUUGAACUUUGAACGAG
rnacentral:lncRNA from 1 species